UACGAAGGAUGCAAGCGUUAUCCGGAUUUAUUGGGUUUAAAGGGAGCGUAGGCGGUCUUAUAAGUCAGUGGUGAAAUCUCGUUGCUUAACAACGAACGUGCCAUUGAUACUGUAGGACUUGAGUACAGUUGCCGUUGGCGGAAUGUGUCAUGUAGCGGUGAAAUGCAUAGAUAUGACACAGAACACCGAUUGCGAAGGCAGCUGACGGAGCUGUAACUGACGCUGAGGCUCGAAAGCGUGGGGAGCGAACCGG
rnacentral:rRNA from 1 species